UCCAAAAAAAAAAACGAUUUCUUAUUAACGUUUCAGGAACCCUCGUGUAUCCAAGCUAACACGCUGCAACGCUACAAAAGUGAUUCUCUCAUUCAAAAAUAGCUGAUAUCGAUCGCAAAGCCUAUUUCUGAAUUUCAUAUGAGAAAUGAUGGCAAGAUUGAAACCGUGAAUUCACCGCCGAAAUUGGAGCCAACGGAAGCCUUCAUACGCGUGGAUAAAAGAAGACGACGAGAUGCUAUUACCGAAAGAUUGCGACUUGGUGACUCCGGAUAAUCGUCCUCUAGCUCGUCGCGGAUAACAUCGAGGUCGACGAGAGCUUUGUCAUCUUCGGAAACACGGCCAGCACGGUGUUGAUUCAUAGUGGAGCGUUCGUUGGAUCUCCAACGAGUCUGUGAUGAUAAUGAAUCUUGGCGCGAGGAACGAUGAGUGAAAGCGAUUUGAUUGUGAAAAGGUGAGAUCCUUCUUCCGCCUUUUUCUCUAUAUUCUUCUUCUAUUCUACUUCUGAUGAGCUUCUGUUAUUGAUAAGCUUUUGUUACUGAUAAGCUUAUGUUAUCUGAUACUAUCUGAUACACUUCUGUUAUUGUUUUUGCUUCCUUUCUUAUAUGAUGGAACCGAGAGGAAGAAACAGAAAUCUCCCUCUGAUGGAAUGAAAAAGAAGAAACAGAAAAAUCUACCCUUGAUUAGAGUGAAGGAAUUAAGUUAUAAAGUGGAGAAAAAAUGCAGAAAAAUAGAAGAAGAGAAAAAUGCAGAAAUAAAAAAUCCCCUUGAUCUGUAGUAAGAAUUCUGUGAUUCGAUCCAAAAUAGGCCGUCUCGAAAACAAAUUCUUCACGGACAGAGUUGAUUCCAAUGAAGCCACUACCGUGUUGAUUUCUCUUGUAAUUUAUGACUCAAAUUGGUUGGUGUUGCAAGUGACUUAUGAGGGGGGAUGCUUUGAAUUGGCUAGCUUUGGAAUUGAAAUAUUGUAAUGUCAUGGUUUUGCUUUAGUCAUGGAAUUUUACACCGGUUUAGCUUGUGAUCCUUGUAAAUUUGAAAUUGUAAUGGUUUAUGGUUACGAAAGUUGUAUGUUUAGAAAUGGUUGUAACAUGAAUUUAUGAUUUAUGGAAAUGUAAUAUAAUUUGGAUGGUUGAA